rnacentral:lncRNA from 14 species
CACGAGUGUGGUCUGGAAGGAAGAAAUGGUCCAUAUGAGUUAACAUGGGACUUGGCUGCUGCAGGUGCACAGGACAGGCUGGACUGCACUGACUCCAGAAGCAGUUCUCAUGAAGAACUGAAGUGUCCAGGCAUUCUGAAAACAAGGAGAGCCAUUGCUGGGCAGGGAAUGGAGAGAUGAGAGCUCAGGCAGAGGGAAUCAGUGUAGACUGGCUGGGGAGCAUGAAAAUGGUCUAUGGAAAUGCAAGGUGAUUUGAAGCCCAAGGACAUUCAAUAAGAACCUUCCUAUUGAACAGAGGACUUCUGCCCCCUAAACAGAACCCAUACAUUUUAGGUUUUUAAAUACUGCUUUGCUUAAUCCUCCGUUGCCAGUGUGGCAUCUUUAUACAAAUAGUUGUUUGUAUUGGGGUUGGAUUUGGG